rnacentral:tRNA from 1 species
UAGGAUGUAGUAUAAUUGGUAACACGAAGGUUUUUUAAUUCUUAGGUUUAGGUUCAAGCCCUAUAAUUCUAG